rnacentral:lncRNA from 1 species
AAUAUUUGGAAAUAUUCAGUUUCUUUAUAUUUAUUAAAUCAUUUAAAAAAAAAAGAAAUCGUGAUUUAUAAAAUCAAUUUUUAAAUUAAAAAAAUAAAACAUCGAUUUGGAAACUUCUUCUCACGCCAUCUUCUUCUCCCCUUUGUUCUUAAAGGAGAAGAGAAAAAUGGGUUUGAUUCAUUAGAAAUCGAGUUUUAAGAGUUCAGCUCGUACCCACACUUUAUGCUCUUUUGCUUCCUCAAAAUAUUUGUGCUCUUUUGCUUCCUCAAAAUCUCUUGGCUCAUCGUUCAAACACAUUAAUAACAGCUCACCUUCUUCCUCUGAAAGUAGUAUGUAAUUAUCUAGAUAUCUCAGUCUUCUGCUCUGUCUUCCUAACCUUCUUAGCCCAUGUGAUUCAGUUUCUAACAUGUCCUCGUCUUCUUCACUUUCUAUCUCAAUUACCUCAGUUUCUUCUGCUUUCUUUUCUUCAAGUCUUUCUGGCUCUAUGAUACCACUCAAA